rnacentral:misc_RNA from 1 species
GAAAUGCGAUAAGUAGUGUGAAUUGCAGAAUUCAGUGAAUCAUCGAAUCUUUGAACGCACAUUGCGCCCCUUGGUAUUCCAUGGGGCAUGCCUGUUCGAGCGUCAUUUGUACCCUCAAGCUCUGCUUGGUGUUGGGUGUUUGUCCCGUCUCCGCGCGUGGACUCGCCCCAAAGUGAUUGGCAGCCGGCGUACUGGUCCCGGAGCGCAGCACAUGUCGCGCAAACGAGUGCCUUGGUACGGCGGCGUCCAUAAGCCCCUCUCUCACGCUCUUGACCUCGGAUCAGGUAGAGAUACCCGCUGAACAUAAGC